rnacentral:rRNA from 1 species
UACGUAGGGGGCAAGCGUUGUCCGGAAUUACUGGGCGUAAAGGGCGCGUAGGCGGCACGGUAAGUCAGGAGUGAAAGGCCUGGGCUCAACCGAGGAACUGCUUUUGAGACUGCCGAGCUAGAGUGCAGAAGGGGCAACUGGAAUUCCCGGUGUAGCGGUGAAAUGCGUAGAUAUUGGGAAGAACACCUGAGGCGAAGGCGGGUUGCUGGGCUGACACUGACGCUGAGGCGCGAAAGCCAGGGGAGCAAACGGG